UGGGUGGAAGCUCUGCAUCCCCCUCCCCAGGCCUGGAAGGGUAAACUGAGGCACAGGUUCCAGGCUCCUAGAGACCCAGCUUCUCCCUCUGUACGAAGCCAUGUUCAUUCACUUCUCAUUUUCCACCUUCAUGUCUUUUUCUUUCUCUUUUCUCUAAAUCAGCGGUUCUCAACCUGUGGGUCAUGACCCCUUUGGGAAGUCAAACGACCCUUUCAUAGGGGUCACCUAAGACCAUCG